UAUAAACGUUUCCUUUCUAUUAUCAAUUGCCGUCUGCACACAAGGAAGCUGCGAAGAAGCUAGCUCCAGAAAAAAGAGGCCACCACCUAGAACUACACAUGGAGGAGGAUACGUACAAAAAAUCAACAAGCAACGGUCCGUCCAAGAAACCAGAAGUGGCCACCGGCCUCCAUCUCCGCCUGGCCUUGUCCAGGCCAUCGACGGCAACCUGAUCUGGUCAAGAGUCGUCGCCGCACCCAACGCCUCCUCGCCCGCGCGCCUCCACGCCAGCUCCGCCUCGAGCCGCCCACUUCGCCCCGCUCGCGCGCCUUCGCGUUAGCUCCGCCUCCAGCAGCCCGCUUCGCCGCGCCCGCGUGCCUCUGUGCACAGCUCCGCCUCGAGACACCCACUUCGCCAUGCCGGCUUACCUCCGUGUAGCCAUGCGCUCGCGCUGGGCCUGCUUCCCCACACUGGCUCCACUCUCAAGACCGCACCC
rnacentral:lncRNA from 1 species